AAAACUUUCAACAACGGAUCUCUUGGUUCUGGCAUCGAUGAAGAACGCAGCGAAAUGCGAAAAGUAAUGUGAAUUGCAGAAUUCAGUGAAUCAUCGAAUCUUUGAACGCACAUUGCGCCCGCCAGUAUUCUGGCGGGCAUGCCUGUCUGAGCGUCAUUUCAACCCUCAUGCCCCCCUGGGGCGUGGUGUUGGGGAUCGGCCAAAGCCCGCGAGGGACGGCCGGCCCCUAAAUCUAGUGGCGGACCCGUCGUGGCCUCCUCUGCGAAGUAGUGAUAUUCCGCAUCGGAGAGCGACGAGCCCCUGCCGUUAAACCCCCCAAAUCUUUCAAGGUUGACCUCAGAUCAGGUAGGAAUACCCGCUGAACUUAAGCAUAUCAAUAAGCGGAGGAAAAGAAACCAACAGGGAUUGCCCUAGUAACGGCGAGUGAAGCGGCAACAGCUCAAAUUUGAAAUCUGGCGCAAGCCCGAGUUGUAAUUUGUAGAGGAUGUUUCUGGCGAAGUGCCUUCCGAGUUCCCUGGAACGGGACGCCAUAGAGGGUGAGAGCCCCGUACGGUUGGAUGCCUAGCCUCUGUGAAACUCCUUCGACGAGUCGAGUAGUUUGGGAAUGCUGCUCUAAAUGGGAGGUAUACGUCUUCUAAAGCUAAAUACCGGCCAGAGACCGAUAGCGCACAAGUAGAGUGAUCGAAAGAUGAAAAGCACUUUGAAAAGAGGGUUAAAAAGUACGUGAAAUUGUUGAAAGGGAAGCGUUCAUGACCAGACUUGGGCAGGUUGAUCAUCCGUGGUUCUCCGCGGUGCACUCUGCCUGCCCAGGCCAGCAUCAGUUCGCCCCGGGGGAUAAAGGCUUUGGGAAUGUGGCUCCUCCGGGAGUGUUAUAGCCCGCUGCGUAAUACCCUGGGACGGACUGAGGUUCGCGCUCUGCAAGGAUGCUGGCGUAAUGGUCAUCAACGACCCGUCUUGAAACACGGACCAAGGAGUCGUCUUCGUAUGCGAGUGUUCGGGUGUCAAACCCCUACGCGUAAUGAAAGUGAACGUAGGAGAGAGCUUCGGCGCAUCUCCGACCGAUCCUGAUGUUCUCGGAUGGAUUUGAGUAAGAGCAUACGGGGCCGGACCCGAAAGAAGGUGAACUAUGCCUGUAUAGGGUGAAGCCAGAGGAAACUCUGGUGGAGGCUCGCAGCGGUUCUGACGUGCAAAUCGAUCGUCAAAUAUGGGCAUGGG
rnacentral:rRNA from 1 species